GCAAGAAGCAGCAGCGCGCAAAUUACCCACUCCCAGAACGGGGAGGUAGUGACGAAAAAUAACAAUACGGGACUCUUUUGAGACCCCGUAAUUGGAAUGAGUACACUCUAAAUCCUUUAACGAUGACCAAUCGGAGGGUAAGUCUGGUGCCAGCAGCCGCGGUAAUUCCAGCUCCGAUAGCGUAUAUUAAAGUUGUUGCGGUUAAAAAGCUCGUAGUUGGAUCUCAGUUCCAGACGGGUGGUCCGCCUACCGGUGGUUACUGCCUGAUCUGAACAGCCAGCCGGUUUCUCUUGAUGAUCUUCACCGGUUGUCUUGGGUGACCGGCAAGUUUACUUUGAAAAAAUUAGAGUGCUCAAAGCAGGCGUGACGCCUGAAUAAUGGUGCAUGGAAUAAUGGAAUAGGACCUCGGUUCUAUUUUGUUGGUUUUCGGAACACGAGGUAAUGAUUAAGAGGGACAGAGCGGGGGCAUUCGUAUUGCGACGCUAGAGGUGAAAUUCUUGGACCGUCGCAAGACGAACUACUGCGAAAGCAUUUGCCAAGAAUGUUUCCAUUAAUCAAGAACGAAAGUUAGAGGUUCGAAGGCGAUCAGAUACCGCCCUAGUUCUAACCAUAAACGAUGCCAGCCAGCGAUCCGGCUGUGUUCCUCAAAUGACACGCCGGGCAGCUUCCGGGAAACCAAAGCUUUUGGUUCCGGGGGAAGU
rnacentral:rRNA from 1 species